GUGGGGAAUAUUGCACAAUGGGCGAAAGCCUGAUGCAGCAACGCCACGUGAGGGACGACGGCCUUCGGGUUGUAAACCUCUUUUAGUAGGGAAGAAGCGAAAGUGACGGUACCUGCAGAAAAAGCACCGGCUAACUACGUGCCAGCAGCCGCUGUAAUACGUAGGGUGCAAGCGUUAUCCGGAAUUAUUGGGCGUAAAGAGCUCGUAGGCGGUCUGUCGCGUCUGCUGUGAAAACUGGAGGCUCAACCUCCAGCCUGCAGUGGGUACGGGCAGACUAGAGUGCGGUAGGGGAGAUUGGAAUUCCUGGUGUAGCGGUGGAAUGCGCAGAUAUCAGGAGGAACACCGAUGGCGAAGGCAGAUCUCUGGGCCGUAACUGACGCUGAGGAGCGAAAGCGUGGGGAGCGAACAGGAUUAGAAACCCGUGUAGUCC
rnacentral:rRNA from 1 species